rnacentral:lncRNA from 1 species
UAAAACAGCUAAGAAGUUCUUCAUAAUAGUAAAAAUAAUUGUUAUAUUUACAAUUUUAAGAAAUUAAAAUUUCCUAGGGUUUCUUUCCUAGGGUUCCGACCCUUCCCUUAGUUCUCUGAGAAUUCUUGGGAAGGUUGUAGUAUAAAAUAGGAUUGGAAACAGAACCUUUUGUGGUCCAGAGAGAUCUACCAAAAGGGUCAGACCCUUGUAACAGGCAUCCGUGUUGAUGCAUUCACUGGUUUUGUGUGUCAACUUGACACAAGCUCGAGUCAUCAGAGAGGAAGGAUCCUCAGUUGAGAAAUGUCUCCAUAGUAUCAGGCUAUAGAGCAUUUUAUCAAUUAGUGAUCAGUGGUGGAGCUCCCAGCCCAUUGUGGGUGGAGCCAUCCCUGGGCUGAUGGUCUUGGGUUCAAUAAGAAAGCAGGCUGAGCAAGCCACAGUUAGCAACACCCCUCCAUGGCCUCUGCAUCAACUCCUUCCUACAGGUCCUGUUCUGUUUGAGUUCCUAUCCUGACUUCCUUCCGGUGAUGAACAGCAGUGUGGAAGUGUAAGCCAAAUAAACCCUUUCCUCUCCAAGUUGCUUUUUGGUCAUGGUGUUUCGUUGUAGCAAUAGAAACACAAAGAGAGCUGAUGUGUUCCAAGGGGAGAAUGGAAUGGAGGGGGCAGAGUUGCACCUUGUGAGGGAAACCUGUUAGCCCUGUCAGGCUCCCAUCAUCUCUGC